rnacentral:misc_RNA from 1 species
ACCAUAACACCAACCGCUCAAAUAUUUGAAACUACUGUUAGUCCUGACAUUUCUGAAGAUUCACACACACAUAUAUACACAUACGCCAACAAGAUGUUAAUCAUUGUUUACUCAGGCAGGCAAGGUGUAAACAAACAUUGCUGAAAUUCUAACAUAACCACAAUUUCUAAACCAAAAAAUAUAUAUACAUAUAUAUACCCCUUGAAUCCUCUUGCCAGUAACAGGGC